rnacentral:rRNA from 1 species
UACGUAGGGUGCGAGCGUUGCCCGGAUUUAUUGGGCGUAAAGGGCGCGUAGGCGGCCACGCACGUCCGUUGUGAAAUCGCCCGGCUCAACUGGGCGGGGUCAGCGGAUACGGUGUGGCUAGAGCAAGCUAGGGGGCAAUGGAAUUCCCGGUGUAGUGGUGGAAUGCGUAGAUAUCGGCAGGAACACCCGUGGCGCAAGCGGCCACCUAGCCCGUUGCUGACGCUGAGGCGCGACAGCGUGGGGAGCGAACUGG